GUGUGUGUGGUUUAGUGGUAGAGCGCUCGUCUAGCAUGUGUGAGGCACUGGGUUUGAUCCUCAGCACUACA
rnacentral:tRNA from 1 species